rnacentral:rRNA from 1 species
GACGAACGCUGGCGGCGUGCUUAACACAUGCAAGUCGAACGGAAAGGCCCUGCUUUUGUGGGGUGCUCGAGUGGCGAACGGGUGAGUAACACGUGAGUAACCUGCCCUUGACUUUGGGAUAACUUCAGGAAACUGGGGCUAAUACCGGAUAGGAGCUCCUGCUGCAUGGUGGGGGUUGGAAAGUUUCGGCGGUUGGGGAUGGACUCGCGGCUUAUCAGCUUGUUGGUGGGGUAGUGGCUUACCAAGGCUUUGACGGGUAGCCGGCCUGAGAGGGUGACCGGCCACAUUGGGACUGAGAUACGGCCCAGACUCCUACGGGAGGCAGCAGUGGGGAAUAUUGCACAAUGGGCGGAAGCCUGAUGCAGCAACGCCGCGUGCGGGAUGACGGCCUUUGGGUUGUAAACCGCUUUCGCCUGUGACGAAGCGUGAGUGACGGUAAUGGGUAAAGAAGCACCGGCUAACUACGU